GCCUGGGUGGCUCAGUGGUUGAGCAUCUGCCUUCAGCUCAGGUCAUGAUCCUAGGGUUCUGGGAUCGAAUCCCACAUUGGGCU
rnacentral:tRNA from 1 species